GGGCCUUAAGCUCAUACGGUAUGAGCACCCGACUCAUAAUCGGAAGGUACAUGGGUUCGAACCCCUGAAGGCCCACCA
rnacentral:tRNA from 1 species